GCAGGCGGCGGAGCUUGGGUUGAAAGGAAUCGCCUUCAUUUGGAACGUUGUUUAUUUUUCUUAACUAGCCAGCGCCGACGGACGACCCCGCGAGCACGGAGGCCGGACCCGGCCGAUCCAGCGCUAGAAAGGGGUCAGGACUGGGGGCGGCCAGGCGAGGUGGUGCUGCGAGCGCCCGCACUGGGAAUGUGCCCCGGUGCCCCAGCGGCCGGGAUGGGGGAAGGGUCGUGGCGGGCCCAAGGACUUUCUACCACGUAGGAAAACAGACUUUCUCCUGCCAGAGUUAUCAUACCUUAGCUUUGACCUUGCCUGAGCCGGGGCAGCGAAGCGGUUAAGCUCUUUGGGUUUGGUGUUUGGUCGCCUUGGGUUUCAGUUUCUCCUCCUCGGUUUUUAGCUCCACGACCUUGGUCAAGUCACCUUUGUGACUCAGUUUCCUCGACUCUCAAAUGGGUAUAGUAUAGUGCUUUGCUCCUUGAGUUGCUGUCAGGAUUAGAUGAGACAAUGCACCCUAGCGCAGGAGAUGGAACUUGCCAAGUGCUUAGGAGACGUCAAUUCAUUUUGUGGGGGCUGUGGCGCAGGGUAGGUGGGGUGGGGGUAGCCAGCAAGCGUGGGGCCCACAGAGAAGGGGCUUGAGCUGGAAACCCAUGACUCCCAAGCUCUGGGGAAGGUGCGGGCUGGGGAGAGUUCUGAGCGUUUUGACAUGAAAUGAAUAAAAUGCAAAUGAUAUUCAAAGCAAGAUGCUAAUGAGGAUCUAUUCUUUGAGCGUCCACAGCCCCGGCAGUGCCCAUAAUAGUGGCGGGGCUGGUGUGAACUCGAGGAUGGGCAGGGCCCUGCAGUGUCUCGAGUGUGUGUGUGUGUGUGUGUGCGUGUCAGCGCGCGCCUCCUCCGGAAUGUGCGUAGCCGGCUCCGGGUGUGCUCGCGCCGACAUGAAAAUGAGGUCAGGGAAGGUCGUUCCACUCUGCUGCCGUAUUCUCUUCACCACAAUGAAUAGCAGCAACAAGAUGAUGCCUGGUUCUUUUUCGUGCUAUGGAGACAGCGUGGGCAACUCCAGCGCAAGAAGGUAAGAUCCGGUGUCUCUCUGGCGCUCCAAUUCUGGCGCUCCAAUUCCGCUGCUCCUUAGGCGGAGGAAUU
rnacentral:lncRNA from 10 species